UCAUAAUCCUUCAAUGUCUGGUGUGAAGGGAAACCUUAAUCAGCAGAAAAAGAACUGUUAAUGUUGGUAUCAUUUUACUGUUUAAUGGUAUGGUAGAUAUCAAUCUGCUUCCAUUUAGGAAAAGAAAAGCAGUGGUUUUGUUGUGAAAACUGCUUUAUGUGAUGUGAUAAGAGCUCAUAUUCCCAUCUGGCAAGAGGGAGCAGAACAUUCAAAUUAUUUUAGCUAGCCCUGUGUUACUAGUGGGAAAGGGAAUGAAACAUUGCUAUGGAAGUAAGUGAAUGCCUUACACUGAAGAUGUCAAAUGUGGAGUUGACAGCCAGGAUCCUCAACUACUGUACACAGUUUUGGACAAUUACUGGUUAAUACAGGUCUGUUUUCACAUUGUGCCGUGGAAGUGUAUUCAACAUCUCCAGAUCAUCUGAGUAUUUCACUACAUGUUCACUUAGAGUUUAACCCUGCUGAAUUCUCCGAAAUAUUUAACAGACUCUAGCCUGGGAAGAAUAUAAUGCAGAGUUAAGUGCACCACAGACUUAUUAAGCUGUCUGUGAACAGAAUUUAAUGGGAAGAACACACAUUCUUGGACAGUGCAGCAACCAAGCCUGAUCCUGCUUCCAGAGGAAUUCAAGUUGUUAAUUUCAGCAUUAGAAUGGAACUGCAACAUGUGGAAAUUCCACCUGUGAUGAGUGCAUCCUUUUCUGAUUUUGAAGACUUUUGCCAGCAGCCUCAGAAUAGACUUUAAGAACACAUGUUAAGUAAAGGCAAAGAAAAAAAGUUGAUGCUUUGCCUAGAUCUGGACUUAGGUAACAAAAAUGAAAUGGGAAAUGGUCUGAUCCCAGCAAAGUCAAAAGGAUUCUUCUUAUUUUAAUCAUCAGGGGUGGGAUUUUUCCCUCAUGUACAAAGAACAAUUCAGAAAUAAAUGGGUAUGAUCUAAUUAAUUACAAGCUCUGUUACUUUUUGAGUUUGUUUACUCAUGCUCAUAAAGACACAGAAUAUGCAGUAAUUGAAUUAUAUGUGGUUCUAUAUAGUUAGAGUACUGUUAGGAAGGCCUAUUCUGCUGGUCGAUUUCCUCAGGGUUCCACUGAGGUUUCUAUUCUUUUAAUUUGUUAGAUCUUCAUUCACAGCUUCAUAUUAAUUUAUGCACCAUGCUGAAUGUGAAUAAGUUAUCUGAUAAAGGUGCAAGGGAUUUUUAACUUUAUGAAGCUGAACUUUAUGACCAAUACUGAACUGAUGGCUGAGUUGAAUCCUUACCCAGAAUCCUUACUCGCUAUAUUACAUUAGCAGUCAGGAACCUGAUGUGUACUGUUGCACUAGUGAGGCAAAGAUCGCUUUCUCUAUACAAAACCUUUUAUUUUAGAAAUGAUUACAAUAUAGCCUUUGAACAGUGAUCCACUAAUAAUUUGAUUCUGUUUCCUGCAAACAUGGUGCUUGGCUUUUUGUACCAAACAGUGUCUUCUGUGUUGUAGAAACAAAUUGUAGAAGUAGGUGGAAAAUUUACUGGAGUUCUGAAAACAAACAGAACCGAAAUACAUUCAAAGCAUUUUAUCAAAAAAUAGGCACAAAAUACAAUGCUCCAUAUGAACAGAAUGGGUGUGGUGUCAUUCUGUGGGUUGUCCUAACAGUAGUACUUUGGGUCUGCACUGACAGUGCAUCUUUUUAUACACAACGGAAUCACACCAGCCCUUUUAAUAUAAUAAAAGGGCAAGUGCCCUUUUUGUCGCAGUCUGCUGUGACAGUGGCUAAACCCAUAUGAACAGUCUGAUUUGGACAGAGAAGUGCACAAGAAAAGGUUGUAUAAGGGGACCAACCAAGGUCAUCUCAGAAUUAACAGGACUUUAUACUUAUCUUCACAUUUUCAUGCUGCUAUAAUGAUGCCUACUUUUAAUAGCGGAAAUAUUCAAUAUUUUAAAAGAUCUGCAUAGGAAACAGGAGAAUGUUGCUUUUAUUUAUUGUUUUACUUGGCUAUAUAAUGCAUAGAGAGUAUACAGAGCGCCUAAAAGAUUUUUUUACUAUGACAUUGUUAUACUUAUACAUCAUUAUCUUAAAUUCUUACUGUACUCACUUCUUCUGUGGUAAUUCUUCUAAUUACUGAUAUCUGAACAAUAAACAAUAUAUAUUUUUUUUCAGUUACAUAUAUUAAAUCUUGUUGAUCCUUCUUCAUGUGCAAAACCAGUAUUAUUUAUUUACAAAAAUUGUAAAGUCCUAUUUAUUUAUGUAUUGUGAUGGAAUAAACAGGGAAUGGACUACUUGCAUCUUUACUUUGAAACAUAUACCUUUCUGAAACUUGUUUCCUAUUUUGUAUAAAAGAAAAUGUUAUCUCAACUGUCAUUACUUGAUAAAUGUGUGUAAAACAAUGGUUUAAAAACACUUUUGCUAAUCAUGAAGGAGUG